UACGUAGGGUCCGAGCGUUGUCCGGAAUUAUUGGGCGUAAAGGGCUCGUAGGCGGUUUGUCGCGUCGGGAGUGAAAACCAGAGGCUUAACUUCUGGCUUGCUAUCGAUACGGGCAGACUUGAGGCAUGCAGGGGAGAACGGAAUUCCUGGUGUAGCGGUGAAAUGCGCAGAUAUCAGGAGGAACACCGGUGGCGAAGGCGGUUCUCUGGGCAUGUUCUGACGCUGAGGAGCGAAAGUGUGGGGAGCGAACAGG
rnacentral:rRNA from 1 species